UACGGGGGGAGCAAGCGUUGUUCGGAUUUACUGGGCGUAAAGGGCGCGUAGGCGGCGUGACAAGUCACUUGUGAAAUCUCCGGGCUUAACUCGGAACGGCCAAGUGAAACUGUCAUGCUAGAGUGCAGAAGGGGCAAUCGGAAUUCUUGGUGUAGCGGUGAAAUGCGUAGAUAUCAAGAGGAACACCUGAGGUGAAGACGGGUUGCUGGGCUGACACUGACGCUGAGGCGCGAAAGCCAGGGGAGCAAACGGGG
rnacentral:rRNA from 1 species